rnacentral:tRNA from 1 species
AGGAUAAUAGUUAUUGAUAAUAUCUAACUUGCACUUAGAAGGUACUGAUCUCAGUUUAUCUUA